GAUGGACGCUGGCGGCGUGCCUAAUACAUGCAAGUCGAGCGAACGGACGAGAAGCUUGCUUCUCUGAUGUUAGCGGCGGACGGGUGAGUAACACGUGGAUAACCUACCUAUAAGACUGGGAUAACUUCGGGAAACCGGAGCUAAUACCGGAUGAUAUUUUGAACCGCAUGGUUCAAAAGUGAAAGACGGUCUUGCUGUCACUUAUAGAUGGGUCCGCGCUGCAUUAGCUAGUUGGUAAGGUAACGGCUUACCAAGGCAACGAUGCAUAGCCGACCUGAGAGGGUGAUCGGCCACACUGGAACUGAGACACGGUCCAGACUCCUACGGGAGGCAGCAGUAGGGAAUCUUCCGCAAUGGGCGAAAGCCUGACGGAGCAACGCCGCGUGAGUGAUGAAGGUCUUCGGAUCGUAAAACUCUGUUAUUAGGGAAGAACAUAUGUGUAAGUAACUGUGCACAUCUUGACGGUACCUAAUCAGAAAGCCACGGCUAACUACGUG
rnacentral:rRNA from 1 species